rnacentral:Y_RNA from 1 species
GGCUGGUCCGAUGGUAGUGGGUUAUCAGAACUUAUUAAAAUUAGUGUCACUAAAGUUGGUAUACAACUACCACAGCUAAAUUUGACUAGCUUUAC